AUGAAAGCAAGGGGAGAGACUACACCGUAGCGCCGAAGGAGCAAACAAUGAAUUUGUGAAUCUCUCAGGCAAAAGAACUCUUGCUGGACG
rnacentral:ncRNA from 2 species